rnacentral:rRNA from 1 species
GACGAACGCUGGCGGCGUGCUUAACACAUGCCAGUCGAACGCUGAAGCACCAGCUUGCUGGUGUGGAUGAGUGGCGCACGGGUGAGUAAUACGUGAGUAACCUGCCCUUGACUCUGGGAUAAGCCCGGGAAACUGGGUCUAAUACUGGAUGCUACAUGUCACCGCAUGGUGGUGUGUGGAAAGGGUUUACUGGUCUUGGAUGGGCUCACGGCCUAUCAGCUUGUUGGUGAGGUAAUGGCUCACCAAGGCGACGACGGGUAGCCGGCCUGAGAGGGUGACCGGCCACACUGGGACUGAGACACGGCCCAGACUCCUACGGGAGGCAGCAGUGGGGAAUAUUGCACAAUGGGCGAAAGCCUGAUGCAGCGACGCCGCGUGAGGGAUGACGGCCUUCGGGUUGUAAACCUCUUUCAGCAGGGAAGAAGCCACAAGUGACGGUACCUGCAGAAGAAGCGCCGGCUAACUACGUG